rnacentral:rRNA from 1 species
GUGGGGAAUCUUAGACAAUGGGGGCAACCCUGAUCUAGCCAUGCCGCGUGAUCGAUGAAGGCCUUAGGGUUGUAAAGAUCUUUCAGCUGGGAAGAUAAUGACGGUACCAGCAGAAGAAGCCCCGGCUAACUCCGUGCCAGCAGCCGCGGUAAUACGGAGGGGGCUAGCGUUGUUCGGAAUUACUGGGCGUAAAGCGCACGUAGGCGGAUUGGAAAGUUGGGGGUGAAAUCCCGGGGCUCAACCCCGGAACUGCCUUCAAAACUCCCAGUCUUGAGGUCGAGAGAGGUGAGUGGAAUUCCGAGUGUAGAGGUGAAAUUCGUAGAUAUUCGGAGGAACACCAGUGGCGAAGGCGGCUCACUGGCUCGAUACUGACGCUGAGGUGCGAAAGCGUGGGGAGCAAACAGGAUUAGAUACCCCAGUAGUCC